UACGUAGGGGGCUAGCGUUGUCCGGAAUCAUUGGGCGUAAAGCGCGCGUAGGCGGCCCGGUAAGUCCGCUGUGAAAGUCCAGGGCUCAACCCUGGGAUGCCGGUGGAUACUGUCGGGCUCGAGUCCGGAAGAGGAGAAUGGAAUUCCUGGUGUAGCGGUGAAAUGCGCAGAUAUCAGGAAGAACACCCGUGGCGAAGGCGGUUCUCUGGGACGGUACUGACGCUGAGACGCGAAAGCGUGGGGAGCGAACAGG
rnacentral:rRNA from 1 species